AUUAAGGUUGCAUGUGAACCAUAUUAAGCCAAGUCUUGGCAUGUUUAAGUUUGGCUUGCUUUUAGAAUUGGCUCAAAACUUAGCCCUAAGCUUGUCUCAAGCAUUGAAUGUACUUUAGUUUUAAUGUGGUUUGCAUAUUAAGUGAGUCUAAAUUAGAGUUAAUGGCUUCUUCAAAUUUAGUGUAUUUACUAAACAUUUUCAAAAAGAAAUAUUGAAAUAGUUGAUAAUGUAACAAAUAAGUUGGAACAACCCUUAAGAAUAUACGGUUUAGUCUAAACUCUUCCUAUAUAGUGCUGAUAUCAUUCAAUAACCCUCAUCCAAUAGAUAAAUGGUUAAUGAAAUCAUUCAUGCAUGUAUAUGAAAGAAUUAGGCCAUUAUUCUAAAA
rnacentral:misc_RNA from 1 species